CUUAAUUAAAAAAACGUCCUUAUUUCGUCGAAAACUUAACUUUUGACUUAUUUAAUCAUCGAUCGUAAAUAUAGGGACUUGUUUGAUUUUUUUUUUUAAUUCUUAUUUCCCACUCUAAACUAUAGACCUGAUCACCUUUUUUUAGUAGAUCUAAGCACUCUUAAAAAAAUAUACAUAGAGAGUUAAGCUUAAAAAAUAUAUGUAUAUUUGUGAUGAUUUUUUUUUUUUAAAUUUAGUAUUUCCUUAUUUGUGUUGGUUUGUUAUUUCUUUCUUUACUUUUUUUUUUUAUUUUGAAUUUUUA
rnacentral:misc_RNA from 1 species